rnacentral:rRNA from 1 species
UACGUAGGGGGCGAGCGUUGUCCGGAAUCAUUGGGCGUAAAGCGCGUGUAGGCGGCUCGUUAAGUCCGGUGUGAAACCUUGGGGCUCAACCCCAAGCCUGCACUGGAUACUGACGAGCUCGAGUCCGGGAGGGGAGAGCGGAAUUCCUAGUGUAGCGGUGAAAUGCGCAGAUAUUAGGAAGAACACCGGUGGCGAAGGCGGCUCUCUGGAACGGUACUGACGCUGAGACGCGAAAGCGUGGGGAGCAAACAGG